rnacentral:rRNA from 1 species
AUUAGGAAUCUUGCGCAAUGGGGGCAACCCUGACGCAGCGACGCCGCGUGUGGGAUGACGGUCUUCGGAUUGUAAACCACUUUUGCCGAGGAAGAAGAAUGUGACGGUACUCGGUGAAUAAGCCCCGGCUAACUACGUGCCAGCAGCCGCGGUAAUACGUAGGGGGCGAGCGUUGUCCGAAGUUACUGGGCGUAAAGCGCGCGUAGGCGGCUUCUUAAGUCUGGGGUGAAAGGUUCAACGCUUAACGUGAACAGUGCCUUGGAUACUGGGAAGCUUGAGUGUGGCAGAGGAUAGUGGAAUGACUGGUGUAGCGGUGAAAUGCGUAGAUAUCAGUCGGAACACCCAUGGCGAAGGCAGCUAUCUGGGCUAACACUGACGCUGAGGUGCGAAAGCGUGGGGAGCAAACGGG